AGCAGCCGCGGUAAUUCCAGCUCCAAUAGCGUAUAUUAAAGUUGUUGCAGUUAAAAAGCUCGUAGUUGAAUUUCGAGACCGGCUUACUGGUCGUGCUUUUGUACGUACUGGUAUAAUCGGUUUCUCCUUUCUGACGAACUAUAAUGCCAUUAAUUUGGUGUUAUAGGGAAUCAGGACUGUUACUUUGAAAAAAUUAGAGUGUUUAAAGCAGGCUCACGCUUGAAUACAUUAGCAUGGAAUAACGGAAUAGGACGUUUGAUUCUAUUUUGUUGGUUUCUAGGAUCGACGUAAUGAUUAAUAGGGAUAGUUGGGGGCAUUAGUAUUCAAUUGUCAGAGGUGAAAUUCUUGGAUUUAUUGAAGACUAACUACUGCGAAAGCAUUUGCCAAGGAUGUUUUCAUUAAUCAAGAACGAAAGUUAGGGGAUCGAAGACGAUCAGAUACCGUCGUAGUCUUAACCAUAAACUAUGCCGACUA
rnacentral:rRNA from 1 species